AUACGGGGCGCAGCAGUCGCGAAAACUUGUCAAUGCGGGAAACCGCGAANCAGGGGAGUCCCAAGUGCUUGCACUUUGUGUAAGCUGUUCGGUUGUCUAAAAAACAGCCGAAGGAAGGGCUGGGUAAGACAGGUGCCAGCCGCCGCGGCAAUACCUGCAGCCCGAGUGGUGAUCGAUUUUAUUGAGCCUAAAGCGUCCGUAGCCGGUCUAGUAAACCCUUGGGUAAAUUGGGCAGCUUAACUGUCCGAAUUCCGAGGGGACUGCUAGACUUGGGANCCGGGGGAGGUCAGAGGUACUCCAGGGGUAGGGGCUAAAUCCGAUAUGGUUUUGUGCCAUUCGGUUAGCAUUCCUGUAAUCCUUGGGGGACCACCAGUGGCGAAGGCGUCUGACUAGAACGGAUCCGACGGUAAGGGACGAAANCCCUGGGGCGCGAACCGGAUUAGAUANCCCGGGUAGUCCAGGGCGUAAACGCUGCAGGCUUGGUGUUGGGGACCCUANCGAGGGUACCCAGUGCCGGAGUGAAGAUGUUAAGCCUGCCGCUUGGGGAGUACGUCCGCAAGGAUGAAACUUAAAGGAAUUGGCGGGAGAGCAC
rnacentral:rRNA from 1 species